GUGCCAGCAGCCGCGGUAAGACAGAGGGUGCGAGCGUUAAUCGGAGUGACUGGGCGUAAAGGGCGCGUAGGCGGUUGUAAGGGUCUGAUGUGAAAUGUCUGGGCUUAACCUGGGAUGUGCAUUGGAAACUGUAUGACUAGAGUCUAGGAGAGGAGAGUGGAAUUUCCGGUGUAGCGGUGAAAUGCGUAGAGAUCGGAAAGAACCCUCGUGGCGAAGGCGACUCUCUGGCCUAAGACUGACGCUGAGGCGCGACGGCGUGGGGAGCGAACAGGAUUAGAUACCCUAGUAGUCC
rnacentral:rRNA from 1 species